ensembl:lncRNA
CCCCUGAGUUGGUGAUGGACAGGGAGGCCUGUCGCGCUGCAGUUCAUGGGGUCUCAAAGAGUUGGAUACAACUGAGCGAAUGAACUGAACUGAACUGAAGUUGGUCAUAGCUUUUCUUCCAAGGAGCAAGUGUCUUUUAAUUCCAUGGCUACGGUCACCAUCUGCAGUGAUUUUGGAUCCCCCAAAAAUAAAGUCUGACAGUGUUUCUAUUGUUUUCCCAUCUGUUUGCCAUGAAGUGAUGGGACCAGAUGCCAUGAUUUUAGUUUUCUGAAUGUUGAGUUUUAAGCCAACUUUUUCACUCUCCUCUUUCACUUUCAUCAGGAGGCUCUUUAAUUCUUCUUCACUUUCUGUCAUAAGGAUGGGGUCAUCUGCAUAUCUGAGGUUAUUGAUAUUUCUCCUGGCAAUCUUGAUUCCAGCUUGUGCUUCAUCCAGCCCAGCAUUUCUCAUGAUGUACUCUGCAUAUAAGCUAAAUAAGCAGGGUGACAAUAUACAACCUUGAGGCACUCCUUUCCCAAUUUCGAACCAGUCUGUUGUUCCAUAUCCUGUUCUAACUGUCGCUUCUUGACCUGCCUACAGAUUUCUCAGGAGGCAGGUCAGGUGUUCUGGUAUUCCCAACUGUUUAAACUUUCCACAGUUUGUUGUGAUCCACAACGUGUAUAGGUGGCGGGGUGGGGUGGGGGGGAGCGGGGGUGGUAGUAAAUAAAAGACCAUAUGGAAAGGCAGGAAGAAGAUGAGCUGGGAUACGUUGCCGCAGGAGGUAGCCCAGAGGAUGGCAGAAUCAGGCCCGAAAGGCUCCUCCCAGAAGCCCAUUCCCCAGCAGAAGCCAAGUCUCACAGGAUCUCGCGGGUUUGUAAGAGGUUGGCAAGAGGUUCCUGAAAGGGGAAACACCUGGGUGCCUCACUCAGAAUGGAGUUUGGUUCCCAUCGUCUACCCGGCCAAAGCCGCUCCUGGGGCUGCCUCCCCUCUUGCCGUUCUUCGUGAGUCUGUCUGUGUGGCGGCCUGUUCGUCCCAGCUGCACCCUCAGCUCUUAAGGACCCAGCUCAGGCCUGUGGCUGUGCAGGGGCUGGAGCACCCAAGGCCCGAGUGGGAGAGGGAACUGCUCGUGCUUGUGCUGCAAGUGCAUCAAGUUCUGAGAGGCCGAGGGGCCACGCCAGGAACCCAAGCUUCUGCUGUGGGCCACUGGGGCCCCAUCUAACGUCUGCAAGGUGCAGGACUGCACCAGGUCCAGGUGCGAGCCCUGCCAUCGCACCGAGCUUGUUUGUUUCUCUGCGCUGCGCCCGGAAGCAGUGAGGGGCCUAGGAGUCCUCCCCGGAGACCACGACCACCUGUUCCCAGAGACUUUCCCGGAAGAACAGCCUCAGCUCAGUGAGGAUAUCUCUGCACCAAAUGGCUCUCAUCCUUCUGAGAUCAGCCAAGGCCCGUUACCUAUCAGUGAUGGAAGAAUAGAGAACAGGCUUCAAUAGUGCUGUUCUCUGCCAUCUAAGAUGGCUUCUGGAUACAUGGAGCAUGGAUAGUGACUAAUACAGCUUGCUCAGGUGACCUCAGUGGAUUUGAUGAUGGCCACGUGCAUUGGGAAGGAUGAUCUGUGUCACCGAGUCCACGGAUUCAAACACUCAUCUCAUUUGGAGAUAGCCCACAGACACAUCAGAACUGCUUUUAAUCUCCAGGGAAGAUCCCCUGGAGCAGGGCAUGGCAACCCACUCAGGAGCCUGGCGGGCUACAGUCCAUGGGGUCGCAAAGAGUCAGACAUGACUGAGUGACUAAGCACCCCAUGACCAGUGAAGUUGACAUUAACCAUCGCAACCAUGUUGUUCUUCCAGUUUCACUCUUGUGUCCACACCCCAGGCUAAUGCAGGACAACUUGUUCAGUGGCCACUUUUCACUGUUCAGAAUGAAGUAAAGGGGUAACCUUCGCCCUACCCUGCCUCCUGCGACCUCUACAGGAGACCUCAGUCAGCCUCUCAAGCUAGACAGCAAGUUGGAGCAGGGUGCAGAGUGAAGCCAGAGGAGCCAGUGAACACCCCGUUCCUGUUUCUAAAGACAGUGAGAAUGCAGGCUUCGAGUUCAAUUGACUUGCCCAAGGUUAAGGACAAUGAUAAGAAACCAAGUCCUCCGGUCCCGCUUCAGCCCUCUUUCCAUCGUGCUUUUUCAUCGUUCUAGUCCGAGGACAGUUCUUGAUUCAGAAAUGCUAAGGUUUUUGUGUAUGGCUGAGUCCCUUCACCUGAAACUGUCACAACAUGGUUAAUUGGCUAUGUGCUCAGUUGCUUUAGCUGUGUCUGACUCAUUGCGACCCUGUGGACUAUAGCCC